AUGUCGUCUUCGGAGCUGCGGCCGCGCCCCGCCACCUCCUUCUCCGGCGACCUGCCCGAGGACGCGCUGUACGAGGUCCUCCUCCGCAUCCCGGCCAAGGAGCUCUGCCGCCUCCGCGCCGUUUGCCCCGCCUGGCGCGCCCUCACCUCCGACCCGCCCUUCGUCGCGGCGCACAUGUCCCGACACCGCACGGCGCCCCCGCUCCUCGCCAUUGCCUACCGCGACGACAGUGAGGUCAACGGCGUUGCGAUUUCGGAUCUGUCGGGCAACGUCGUGAGGCGGAUUCCAGUCACUGGGUAUGAGAUUGUUAUGGUGAACCAGUCGGGUGAUGCCGUUCGCCGGAUCUCAAGCAAGGACGAGCAUGAUAGCAUCCGUGUUGUGCGCAGCCGGCUAGACCUCGUGUGUUUCCACUGGAAUGUGUACUCUAGGACCUUCUGGGUGCUGAACCCGGUCACUGGAGCUACUCUCGACUUACCGAUGGGCCACUCGAAGGAAUUGGAGCAUGAGCUGGAGGUACAGGGAAGAAAAUGGGGCUGCCAUGUCGAGUGGUGCGCUUUUGGGAAGGUCUCCUCUACCAGAGAGUACAAGGCGCUCCGCAUCUGUAGCAUUCGUGACCGGCAGGUAUGUGAGGUUAUCACCUUUGAUGACACCAACCAUGGAAGCUGGAGGAGAAAGCAGGACCCGCCGUCCCGUAUCUGUACCGGUCUCCAGAUGAGAUGCGUGGUCGUCGAUGAGGUGGUCUACUUCUUGAUGGAUUUUCACUACACAUACUUUGAAACCGGGGUUAUAGCCAUUGUGCCUGGUAGCAUAGCUUCGUUCAACCUCGAGAAGGAGGAGUGGGGUGUUCUACCUGGUCCAGAACAGGUGAAGAGGUUUGUGCAAGAGAACAAGAAAUACAGUUACUCACAGCUUGAGCUCCAGUUAUCAUUGGCUGAGUUGAACGGCUGCUUAGUUGUGGUUCAUAAUAUUCAUAAGGUAUCUAUGGACUUGUGGUUUUUGACAGAUUUUGAGAAAGGUCUUUGGGUCAAGAAAUACAGCUUGCCUUCACAUGUUGCUAGGCUUUUUUGGUAUCCUUUUCUCAUGUUAGAUGAUGGGAGAAUUUUCUUCAGUGGGAUGGAUGGCCUAGAAGGUCUAUUAACUGGUGGAAAGGAAGGAGAGGGAUUCUUGCAAAGUUAUGAUCCAAGAAAUGACACUUAUGCUGAUGAACUAGAACUGAGAGAUCCCAGAUCAAUUGGCAUUUAUACAGGAAGCGUGCUGAGUUUAUAG
rnacentral:rRNA from 1 species